CCCAGACUCCUACGGGAGGCAGCAGUGGGGAAUAUUGCACAAUGGGGGAAACCCUGAUGCAGCGACGCCGCGUGAGUGAAGAAGUAUUUCGGUAUGUAAAGCUCUAUCAGCAGGAAAGAAAAUGACGGUACCUGACUAAGAAGCCCCGGCUAACUACGUGCCAGCAGCCGCGGUAAUACGUAGGGGGCAAGCGUUAUCCGGAUUUACUGGGUGUAAAGGGAGCGUAGACGGCAUGGCAAGUCAGAUGUGAAAGCCCGGGGCUCAACCCCGGGACUGCCCUUGGAACUGCUUGGCUGGAGUGCGGGAGGGGCAGGCGGAAUUCCUGGUGUAGCGGUGAAAUGCGUAGAUAUCAGGAGGAACACCGGUGGCGAAGGCGGCCUGCUGGACUGCGACUGACGUUGAGGCCCGAAAGCGUGGGGAGCAAACAGGAUUAGAUACCCUUGUAGA
rnacentral:rRNA from 1 species